GACGAACGCUGGCGGCGUGCUUAACACAUGCAAGUCGAACGAGGCCCAUUCUUCGGGGUGGGUUCUAGUGGCGAACGGGUGAGUAACACGUGGGCAACCUGCCCCUGGCUCUGGGAUAACUCCAAGAAAUUGGGGCUAAUACCGGAUAUGACCGCUGACCGCAUGGUCUGGUGGUGGAAAGUUUUUCGGCUGGGGAUGGGCCCGCGGCCUAUCAGCUUGUUGGUGGGGUAGUGGCCUACCAAGGCGACGACGGGUAGCCGGCCUGAGAGGGUGACCGGCCACACUGGGACUGAGACACGGCCCAGACUCCUACGGGAGGCAGCAGUGGGGAAUAUUGGACAAUGGGCGCAAGCCUGAUCCAGCAAUGCCGCGUGAGUGAUGAAGGCCUUAGGGUUGUAAAGCUCUUUCGGCGGGGGACGAUGAUGACGGUACCCGCAGAAGAACGCCCCGGCUAACUUCGUGCC
rnacentral:rRNA from 1 species